UGUUAGAUUCACUAUGCAGUAAUAUAAUUCAGAAUAGUAAUAUAAUUUUCUCUUUAAUACUAAAAUUAUAGUACUCAGAAAUUUUGAACCACCUGCUUAAAAGAUGAGUCUAUACUUCAUCACUUAUCAUGCAGAUGGCGCUCACAACUCCCUCUAUUUACUUUCAUUUUGUGAUUCUUUCUUGAGCGAUUUCUUUUCGGAUCGUUUGUUCUUAACAAAAAUAUAAUUGCUCAAGUUUUUAAGUAAUAAUUAUUGCGUUACUUUGAUAUUUCAUCGCCAUGAGUAAACGUAUACGGUCAGUAAAUUGUUGUAAUCCAUUCAAUGAGUCACAUAAAAAAGGAGUUAAAGAUUUAAGAAAAUUUCCCGACGAAGAUCGUUGGAAAUUUCCUGACUUAGAUGACACUUCAAUGUUAUGUGUGCGUUGUCGAUUCCGUGUCAAAGAAUAUAUUCCGCCAGCAUCAGAGGAAGAGGAAAUUAUUUCAAGUCAAAUUAGUGUUGAAAGUCUGAGUAUAUCAGCUGAAAUUUGUACUCAAGGAAGCAGUUUAUCUCGGUCAGUAAUUUUAGCGACAAUCUAUGUGAUUACAAUGAUCAUUCUUUAGAGUGAUUUUUGAAAAUUCCUCUUAUUGAAAAAGACAGGUUAUAUUCUGAAAAAAAUUAUGGAGUAAAAAAACUUGAUGAGAGCUAUGCUGCCCUAGAGAAUAAGUUCCAAUCACAAUUUGGAAUAGUACCUGAAUCUACCUACAGAAAGAUUAAUCAAGAUCAUUGUUCCAUGAUAGCUAAAGUGAAGAAAUUAUAUAACACUGAAAGUGACAAGUAAAU